ACGCUGGCGGUAGGCUUAACACAUGCAAGUCGUGCGAGAAAGUAUCUUCGGAUAUGAGUAGAGCGGCGGACGGGUGAGUAACGCGUAGGAAUCUACCUAGUAGAAGGGGAUAGCCCGGGGAAACUCGGAUUAAUACCGUAUACCUCCUUUGGGAGAAAGAGGGCCUCUCUUGAUGCUCUCGCUAUUAGAUGAGCCUGCGUAAGAUUAGCUAGUUGGUAAGGUAAUGGCUUACCAAGGCUACGAUCUUUAGCUGGUCUGAGAGGACGAUCAGCCACAUUGGGACUGAGACACGGCCCAGACUCCUACGGGAGGCAGCAGUGGGGAAUAUUGGACAAUGGGCGCAAGCCUGAUCCAGCCAUACCGCGUGUGUGAAGAAGGCCUUCGGGUUGUAAAGCACUUUAAGCAGGGAGAAAAAGCUAUAAGUUAAUACCUUAUAGCCGUGAUGUUACCUGCAGAAUAAGCACCGGCU
rnacentral:rRNA from 1 species